AACAAAUCAACUUUUUAGUUUUUAGAGACAAUAUUUAACUCUUCGUCUUAUUAAAAAAAAUUACGAUUAAUAAUUUUAUUUUUAUUAGAUGAUAAAAUAUAAACAGUACUUUAUGUGCGACUAAUUUUUUUAAAAUUUCUUGAAAAUUUUUUAAAUAAGAUGGAUGGUCAAAUGCUCGACACAAAAACC
rnacentral:pre_miRNA from 1 species